rnacentral:lncRNA from 1 species
GUUAGUGGUUAGCGAGGCAGGGCCUAGCCCCUGAUGUGCCUUGGUUGUAAGCCCAGGUUUUUUAUUUUUACUUUUGUUUUUGCUUUUAGGGAAGCACAAGCAGGGAUGCAGAUAAGCCAGUCAUGGGACGAAAGCCUGAGCCUGGUAAAGUGUUCUGAUGUGGGCCUGUGUUGUCAUUUUCCAGAAAGCUUUGUGUUGUUCACCUGAUUUGGUUAAUUCUUUCGUACACUGAGGCCCCUCCUGCUUCCACAGUGAUUCUUAGUUUUGAUCUCUGCUUAGUCAGCGAAAUGUUUGAAUGUGUCCAUCUGUACUCUUCAAAAUAUAGGUAUGUUACUAUAGUAGUGCCUAAGAUCUGUGAUAUGCUGAAGGAGGAUACUACUUUUAUGUUUACAGAGUGAUAGUGAUUUUGACAAGCCAGAGAAAUUAUAUUCUCCCAAAAGAAUUGACUUCACUCCAGUUUCUCCAGCUCCUUCCCCAACCAGAGGAUUUGGAAAGGUACGAUUGUUGACAAGAUAUUAACUGUCCUUUUCACAGUGAGCUGUUUAUUCUAACACAUAUAUACAAUUCAACUCACUUCAAGUCUCCAUAGACUUGAAAAGCUGUGUCAGUAAAUUGGAAAAUGUCAUAUGUAUGAGGCACUCGCACAGCUAUGCUGCUUCUGUCAUAUUUCAAAAGAACCUUUCGAAAAACAACCCAACAAAAGAAAAGCCCCUUUGGAGAACAAGAAGUGCGUGGCUGUUGUAACGGUGCUUGUCUUUUCUAGCAAUGCUUGUCGCCAUCCUUGCAAAUGUUUGUGAGCAGCAGCGGGAUGCCACCGAGUCCUGUUCUCAAUCCAAGACAUUUUUCAAGGUAUGUGGAUGUUAAAUGUGGAGACCGGAAAGAUGGCUCAGUGGGUCAAAGUGCUUGUUCUGCAAGCACGGGGAUCUGCAAUUAGAUCUCAGAGCCCAUAGGAAAAGCUCAUGGUAGCCACUCACACCCGUAGCCCCAGCACUUGGCGGGCUUGAGACAGGAGGAGAACUCAGGCUUACUGCAUGCUUAGCCUAGUUAUAGAUAUAGUAAGAGACCUUAUCUCCUAGGAAUAAGAUGGAGAGUGAGAAACCAUUUUUCUCUGGCCACCACACAAGCAUAGGAACUUGAACAUGCACAUGCUCCCUCACAUUAAUUUUAUUAUGGAAUUUUUCAGAUAUAUAUCAAAAUUGUUAGAACUUCAUAAUGAACACACAUAUGCUCACCACUUAUAUUGAGGCAUUAGCAGGCUUGAGACUUAAUGCUGAUUGAUGGAUUCAUUGUGAUCCUGAGGCUCGAAGCAAGAGCCCAGUAUUAAUAUUGGUUUAUAUUUAGAAAACACACACACACACUCAUCCACACACUAACAUAUCAACACCUAUUUUAAAGAUAAAAGAUUAUAAAUCAAAAUGCAAAUAACACUUUUAAUAAGAUGCUUUUCUUUGAGCAAUUGUGUGUAUUUUGUCUCACAGAAUAUUUUUUAAAUGUCUUUAAAAUGCCACGUCUUUUCAUAACGCCACAUGCCAACUCAAAUCAUCCCACAAUACAAGCACUUUGUAUUUCAAUCUAUAUGACUGUCCAUGUUACUUACUUGGGCUAUAAUACUGUUCGGCUUUCAUCUUGGAGGUACUUCAUAUCAUCCUGUUUGUUUAUUUGUCAAAGCAGGAGGAGCCAGAGCCCGGUCAAGUGCAUUAGGCCCAGUGUUCUUGGUCCUCUUAAGAGAAAAGGUAUGUGGCAACUAUGGUUAAUGCAAUAUAUAUAUUACAUGCUUUAAAACGGCUACAAGAGUAGCUCCUGAAUAUUCUUAUCAUCCACCAGGAAAAAGGCAAAGUACGUGUGGUAAUAUAUUGUAUACGCACGCACCGGACCUGACACUGCACACCUUACUAAGUCUGGAUACAGUCAUGAUAGUAGUAUUGGGGGAAAGGAGCCAUCUCGCUUUGGGUGUUGCAUUUAGCCAAGUUUGUAUUAGAAACUAGAAUUCUGGUCUGAAAUGAACUCACAGAAUUACUUUUUUUCCUAAAGAAAUGUUAAAUAUUUUCAGCGUGUUCUAUAGGUUCUAAGUUAUAUAAAUUAACCAUUUUAUGUUGUCUAUAUUUUUGUAAUUCAUAUAUGAAUCAUAUUCUUAUAUUCAUAUUAUCAAUAUACAUUCCAAAAAUAUUUGCCUUUCAGUGAUCUGAAUCUAACAGAUGCACAGUUUGCCUUGUGUGCAGACAUCUACACUGGCAUAGCAGGUAGAUCUGUAGACAUGGAAUUUGCUCAGGUGGGAUUCACUUCCCUAUCAGCAAAGUAUGUGUCAGCAAAGUAAAGUCUUCAAAUAGUCCAGUCCCCAAAGUCCACUUAGAACCACAAAGUCCUAACGUGUUCUCAGUUAGCAGUAGUUUUAGAUGGUUCUGUAAGGCCCCUGAUAGCAUCUGUUUCUUUAAACAUGGCUGAGAUAGUUGGUACUGGUUUAGUCAUUAUUCCUGGCAAUUUGACUGUACAAUUGGAAGUGCCAGGCACCAUUUUAUUUUGCUUUUGUCAUUAGUGAUUUGACUUGGUUUGGUUUUGAUACAGUCUUAAUGUCACUCAGGCUGGCAGUGAACUCACUACAUAGCUAAGACUGGCCUCGAACUCUUGGUCAUUUGGUUUCUACCUCCCAAUUGUGAUUCUAGGUGGGUGCUAACCAUAUCCACCUCGUUUUCUUUUUCUUUUUCUUUUUUGGAUCAGCAUAGAAAGUAAUGGGUUUCUUUAUGUGUUUUACACAUACUUAGUUAUGUCGCUCCUCCUCUACCAUCCGACCUCAUCCCUUUCUUCCCCUAGUGCCCUCUCUAGGUGAUUUUCUUAUUUGGAUCUUUGACCUUCCUUUUCUGCUCUCCACUGAAGACCUCUUUUUUCUUCUUAGACCUUUUCUAGUUUCAUAUUCUAUACCCACAACCAUACUUACACAUAAAUGCACAUAUAUAAAAAUUUAAUCUGGGAUAUCCAGUUUUCACAGACCCACAUAAUUACUUACACAUAAUUUUUAAAAGAUAUUUGCCUGCAUAUAUGUGCAUCACAUGCAUGAAGUGCCUGUGCAGAGCAGAGAGGGCAUUGGGUCCUUUGGGACUGGAGUUUGAGAAGAUGGCUGUGAGCCACCACUGGAUGCUAAGAACCGAACCUGGGUCCUUUGCUAGUGCUGCAAAUGUUCUUAACCACAGAGCAUAGCAUCUCUCUGGCCCACAUCUACCUAAUUUUUUAAAUGUGUCCCAAACAUACAUU